rnacentral:misc_RNA from 1 species
AACGCACAUUGCACCCGGUGGUAUUCCGCCGGGUAUGCCUGUCUGAGCGUCAUUUCUACCCUCAAGCAAUGCUUGUUGUUGGCGGUCUGCGUCCCCCCCCGCAGCCGCUGAAAUUCAACGGCGACAGCCCCUGUCCCCCUGUGUAGUAGAACACUUCUCGCAGAGCGGCGACGGCCGGUCGGUCAGCCCCUAAAACUCUUCUUCACAGAACAGAGUUGACCUCAGAUCAGGUAGGAAUACCCGCUGAACUUAA